AAAAUAUUAUGAGAGAGAGCAAUAAGCAAACAAUUGUGCAGCUUGCUGCUGCACCUACUGCCUACCGCAUAAACAUAUACAAAAGGAAACAUCAAACCUUUUUAACUCCAACUUAGCUAAGAGGAUUUGGACAUGUCAGGUUGGAAAGUUGUUCAGUUCUUUAAGAUAAGCCAAAAUUGUCCAUACAAUACAAGCUAAAGCUCUUUAAUUGGAAAGUCAAAACUCAUAUUCACUCCCUUCCAAUUUUCAUAAGCGGCUAAAUGAACUAAUACACUGUGAAUGAUUUCAAGCUCAAAUUUUCAGUUAAACAAAUAAUCCAAAAGCUCAAGAAAUCAGUUAAAUAGUUGAUAAGCAAUAACUCUUCUAAUAGAUUAUUAAACUCAGCUGAAACUUUAUCCUCGAACCUUUUUUUAAUAACCUUAUGACCCAUCUCAUUGUCGAUUCAAUUACUCUAAUCAUCAAUACCAACAAGGUCAACAUUAACAUAAACAACAAACCUAAAAAUAAAGUCAUUUCCGAUCACAGCAUAUAUCAAAAUACUCAUUUAAUUCGAACAAGAUACCCAUGUAUGUUUUAGCCGUUCAUAGUCAAGAAACAAAGAAAACUAGAACAAGAGCGAACUGGAGUUAGAAAAUUAUUUCCGCAAUAGAUAGAGGAAAAUAUUUUGUUCCAAAAUUAUAGCUUACAACAGCAACAACAUGAGCAGAAACAGCUAUUAGCGGAAAUAACUGAAAAUAUUAAACAAAGCUCUUGAGAGGGGAGAAGAGAUUCAGCAACAGUAACAACAUCCCCAACCAGUCCGCCAACCAAAUCCAAAUCUCAGCCAAAUAUUUCAGACAGAAAUCCAAUCAAUACAAAGUUCCGAGUCCCAGCCAAAGAAACCAACUUAACCUCAAAUAAUAAUCAUUUUUGAGAACCAGAGAUGGAAAAAAGAUUCUGAUAUUUGUAGUUUCGAUUUCUUUAAAAAAACGAAACAAAAAUUGUGCCUAAAAAAACCAAACUCAGACCAUGAUUUCGUAUAUUUUUUUUGUUGAAUAAAAAAACGAAAGCCCCAGAAAAAUAAAAACCAAGAAAAAACCUAGAACUUCCACUACAAAAUUUCCUAAAGAUUUUUCUCUGAUUUUUCUCCGAUUUUUUUCUCUCUGAAUAUUCUGUAUAUUUCGUGUAUCCCCUUUCAUACAAGACAUACCUCAUAUAUAUACCCUUCAAAAGUUCUUGAAUCUUCUCUCAAAAAUCCGAAAUCCUUCAGAUAUUUUGAACGAUUUUUGGACAAAUGGAGGGCACUGAUCGAUUUUCAUCAAUCCACGGCCCCAAUGAAUCCAGCAAUCUUCCUUCUUCGUACGAAGGUUGUACAAUUUCUGAGCAAAUUUGUACACAAAUUGGUUGAGGAUAAGGUGACGUGGACCAAUGAGUGAACUCGUAAACGAGUUAGGGCGAGUUUGAAGGCUGAGUAUUCGGAGAAGAAGAUGAAUAGUAGAGAGGAGGGGCGCUGCAUAUGACUGUCUCUAGGGUUAAG
rnacentral:lncRNA from 1 species